rnacentral:lncRNA from 1 species
AGUCGACUCAGUGGAUGUUUGAGCCGACUCAGUAUCAGUGAUAAAAAGCUAAAUUUUUGGAUGCAGGAGACUUAGUCAAUCCAGAUUCAGCUUAGUCGACUAAGACAGAUUAUUAAUCGACUAAGUCAAAAAGUUAGUCAACUCAGUCUUAGAGGACAGCAGUAAGACAGAAAGGUAGAUUUUUAAACUUUGUCCACUUAGCCGACCAAGUCAAAAUUGAGCGGACCAAGAUAGGAGAGUUAGUCGACUCAGAUGUUCAGUUAGUCGACUCAGUCUUAGAGGAUAGACAGCACAGAAACUAAAAUUUUGGAUC